UCCCCCAUAUAUAUAUAACAGAUUAUCCAAAAGAAUUUAUUCAAUAAUAUAAAUAUCAAAAAAAGGUCAUCUAACGAUCAUGCACUAUAGUUUAUAUAAACACAAUCUUACUUUUAUUUCAAAAAAUUAGUAAAUAAAGUAAAUAAUUUGUUUAUAGUAAAAUCCAAAACUACCGGCUAAAUGUAGCCAUAAAUAUACAAACCACUAAUUUCAAAAUCUAUAGCUUUAAUAUC
rnacentral:lncRNA from 1 species